ensembl:lncRNA
CUCUGGGGUUGUUAGGGAGUUGGAGACCUCACUUCCCACGCAGAGUCCCCGCUCAGUUAGGAGAAGAAACAAGUCCAAAAGACUCAGAGCCUCAGGGUCGGGCUGUGGAGGAAGUGAGUAAAAGUCUGGGAGGGAGGAGCACACACUGAGUGCCCAGAGCACAAAGGUGUCCUUUAGGGAACAGAAACAGCUCAGCCACCAACAGAAAACCAAGGAAAGAGAAAUGAGUUUGGAGCAGGCCUCCCUGGAAGUAAGGCCACGGGUUCAGAGAAGUAGGUUCAAGGACCACCUCAUUCGUCAAGGACAGCCUCAUUCAGAUGAGGAUCAAGGGCAGAUGAGGGGCCUUGGUGGGUGCCAGGUCCGGGGUGAUGGUCCUGGCGGUCAUGGUUUAUCGUUUCAGAGCAGCGUGGACAAGGUUUUGAGCAAAUCAGGUGGCAUCCCAUUUGAAUGGAUUUGUUAUUUGGGGGCAGGACGUGUUCCUGUAAGGAUAUGAAUAGAGAUAAAGGAGGAGGCACAGGAUGCAAAUGGUGUGGGUUGACGUGGGGCGAGGAAGCAUUUACAGCUUCUCAGGAUGUGAGCACCACGUCUGAUUCCUCACCACAAAACCCCACCUCCUCCCCGGACGGCCCCCUGUGGUCAAGAAGAUGGACAAGACGAUGCCCGGUAGUCUUCAGCUGAGCAACUUUUCUGUGACAGAGAAGGCGGCUUGGCGGUGAUGACAUUCAGGGGACAGAUGCUGGCUGCCCUGACAACGCUGUCCUUGGCUGUGUUUUUCUUACCGAAUUGUUUGAAAGUUCAGGUCAAAGGCCCAGAGCCUUCUAGUAUGUUCUCUGUGCUGCAAAUUGAGUCUCUGGUUCAUGGUUGUUGUGGGGAUAUUUCGAAUCAUUGGCCAAGAGGAACAUCUCAGAGCAAGGAGGGACCUUAGAGAUGACGGAACCCGUGGGCACAGCGGCUUGCUUGGGUCCUGCUGGGCAAUCUGUGUCAGAGCUGUGAUGGGGACCCAUCGCCUGGCUUCCAGGCCACAGUGCUUUGCCCCACCCCACAUCAGCUCCCAUCACCAGCCCUGAGAAAUUCUUUCCCCAGACAUAACCCAGAUACUUUUCUUAAUGACCGACUUUGGAUAGUGGCCUCCCUGAGGCAUUUCCCAGACCCCAUCUCAAACGAUGGAUCCCCUUCCUUGAGCCCUUGGCUUGACUGACCGUCCUGCUGCCCUGGCAGGAGCCCUGCACAGCUGGCCCAUUGUCUAGUGGGGAAUCAGCAGGGAACGAAGUACCUGUCCAGGGGGCUGGAUGGCCUGGGACUGUGGCCAAUGAGAGAGGCAGGGCUGAACCUCAGGAGGCUGGCCGCUCGGCAGACAAGAUUCAGAGGAAAACGGUUUUUCUGUUCUCACAAUGGUGGUUCACAGUUUGUGGCUCGCUGCCCAGACUUUUAGCUCAGAGGGAAGACGUACAGGCCAGAUUCGUCCAUAAACGGCCAGUGGUGACAGAAGACCACAUGGCCUGGGAGAGGCAACGCUGAACCAGACCAACCCAGCUCACCCUGCCUGAGGCCAGCCUGAGGCAUUGUGGCCACGGCAAGUUUUUCGACAGGUUCUUCAUCUCCAGAACCGGGAGAGUUGUGCAGUUUCUACACCCUCCUCAUGCGGGAGCACCAAGAUCUGAGCACGCAGCCAGGAGACCAAGGUGCUCCUAACACUGAGCGUGCAAAACACACACAUACCCAGAGGGUGAUAAUGGAAAGCUGGGCGCCAAAGGCAGCUGGGACCUGGCUCACCGUUCCCAGUGUUGAUGACAACCAGGGACGCUGGCUGAGCGCUUCCUCUUUGCCAGGAGCUGCGCAAAGCCCUUCGCUUCCAGAAUCUCUCUGGAGCCCUGUGAGAAGCCUAGAAGGUGGAUCCAAUGAUCAUUUCCAUUUUUCAAACGAGGGCACUGAAGCUCAGAGGAGUUAAGUCACGUCUCCGGAGAUCACACAGCCACCAGGUGGCCAAGCUGGGCUUUGAACCCGACGCUGUUUGCCUCACAGUUGGGUGGUCACACGGUGUCUGCCGCCUGGUCUCCGUGCACUCAGCCGCGGGUCUCCUGUAACACAAGGUGUCUUCAUCAGUCUGUCAACUGAGGCUCUAUUCUCAGAGCUGCUUGGGGACAGAAAAUCCCACCUUGCUACACAAUUUGGCUUACAUUGAAGUCUGUCUGUUUGGGCCCCGACUUCCUUUCUCUCUCCUUUACCCUCGCCUUUCGACUUGGUUUCACUCCUCUCUCAAGAGCGGUGGAGCCUGCCUCCCGCAAACUCCUGAAUGCUGACUCAGCACCAGCACCGGUUGCCGCUUCCCCCAGGGACCACUUGGUUGGCUCUAACUUGCGCCAUAAAAUUGCCUGACCACGUCCCUGUCCCUGAGGGAAAGGGGUGAGCUUAUUGCCCAGGAGUUUCUUGAUAUUGAAAAUAUGCGCUGAGCUCAAAGACCCUCAAGCCAGUUGUUGGGGUCACUGCUUCCCAACUUCAGCUUCAAAAGGCCUGGGGAGGGCUGCCUGCCUGCCCCCUUGGAAAGGACAAUCCGAUUGUAAAUAUCAUCUGCGCUUCGAAGGACGUUCAGACGGUAAUACCCAAGCAAUUACUUUCCUUUCAAGAUCAUUAAACACAAAUCAGACUUGUAUUUUAAUAGGGCUGCCGAUGUUGUUAAUGGUGGGGGUGGCGUCCAGGGUCAGUUUUUUCCUUAAUGGCUGGAUGUUGAUGCUGCCGCCCGCCCCGAGCAGCUUCGCUGGGGGAGGCAGCUCCCUGCUUUGGAGACAUUGCACCGAGAAUCCCUCCCUUCUUCUGCCACACCACCUUCAGAGCGUUUAGGAGGACGGUGACAGCUCCCUCCACCCUCCCCUUGCCCACAGCCUCCCUCCCUCAACUUCUCCCCACCAACACGCAGGCUCCCAGGGCAGUGGUCUCUGAAAGGAAUGAACAGCGGAGGCUCCACUCUCACCACCGGGCUCCCAGCUCCCUUCUAUCUUCCUCCUACUUUAUGGAACAGAGAUGCUGAAAGAUGCUGUCCGGAAGGCCUGGGUCCGCUGCUCACACCCUGGGCAGAGGGACGGGCCUGCAGAGGGAACGGUGGAGCUGCUCUCCUCCUCCGACUCCCCAGUCUCAGAGUGGAACCUCUGAGACCACGGAGGGACAAGCUGCUGCCAGGUGGAAGCUGGGCUCUGAAGUCUGUGGACGGCCCCUGGAAGGACGUGCGCCCGAUGUGCUGACUGCAGAGGUGGGGGGACCAUCCCUCGCCCAGCUCGCCCUGCCACUGCUGUCACCUUGCUGAUGGUGACACAGCAGGACCCCCCUCCACCCGGCACCCAGUGAGUGUGACCCGAGUGGCUGCCCGUGGAGUGAGGUGUCAGGUUCCCCU